rnacentral:lncRNA from 1 species
UCUCUCCUCUUAAAAUUUUAAUCUAACAAGAGGCUUCAUUUCUAUUUUUCAGAAACUGCCUCUUUCUCCCUCCACUUUUUGUGAGCCAAACAAGUCCUAAAAAUAAAUAACGGUAUUGUAAUUUUAUUCCUCCUCGAGUCUCCCAUACUAUUUUUUUUAGGUCUACAUUUUUUUCAAAAAUAUGUUUUAAGCCCAACAAGAAUGUAGAUCCUUUUACAAAUAAUCAUUCAGCACAACCACACAUAUAUACAUAUAUAAUAUGUAUGUAUGCAUAUUAAAAAAAUAUAUAGCAAAUGAAUGAUCUAAUGCAUCAUGGAAACAUAGACAAGAGAUAGGGAUAUCAAUAGAUUGGAUUGAGCAAUAUAUAUAUCCAUCCCAUAAUUAAAAAUUUCAUAUCAAUAUAUAUCCCAUAUCUGUAUUGAGUUGCAUCAGGUCAUGCAGUGAUAUAGGUUGGAAUAGGUCAGAUAGAUAAAAGGAGGGGUCG